CUGGGAGGGGCUGUUGUGCGCGUGUGUCCUCGUGCAUUUUUCCUGUUAUGGGAAUUAAUGCCAUUUCACAUGGGUAUUAUUAGAGGGGGCUGUUACUAAACUUAGCUUCAUUCUCUAACUUAUUCAUUCUCUAAGUUUGUCCAUGCGUGGACAAAAAAGAAAUGGCAACAAAUAACCAGACCGACGAGGAAAAUGCCAAAAUAAGAAGGAAAAUAGCAUUGUAAGCGAUGAGACGGAGACGUCUGAGAGCGAUGACUUCCGUGGCCGGGAGCAGGAUCGUUUCCUUGCCGUGGGACAAGAGUCAGGAAGGGGAAAAUGUUGAAGGGUAGGUGUGGGGUAAAGAGAAAGAAAAAACUCCAUCUUCGUCUACAAUCAAUGCGCCCCUCCUCCUCCUCCUCCUCCUCCUCAUGUCGCCGCCAUCUCUCCGGCCGUAAUUCACGAGUGCGCGCUAUUUAUUUGGCUCACACCUCCCGGUAAAGCCCCGUUACGCGACUUCACACCAAAGCAUGCAUCUGAAUCACUCUGGCAGCUCGUUUUCAGGGAGGCUUGGUGAGGAGACUCUGUGGAGCCCAGAACUCAGGGGUCAAGUCCAGGUUUUCCCAGCCCCCAGCAUCCCUCCCGCUCUCCUCCGCUCCAGAGAGAUGGACAGAAUCAGGGAGAGGCGUGAAGGGAUGGGGAGGAGAGGACAUGAGCCUGAAGUGAUAGAUUGACGCUGAAGAUGAGGAACAGUGGGAACGGAUAUUAUGGACGAAAAACAGUUUACUUUUACAUUUCGCAGCCAAAGUGUUUGGCUUCUGCGUGCAGGGUGAAGUGUGGAGUGAUGAGGCCCAGGACUGCUCUUUCUCUCGCCUUCUCGUCUCCAGAGUGCCAGGCAUUUCAAGCAGGGUGAGAGACGUCGCUGAGGUGUGUGUUAUUCUUGAUGUCGGCCUCCAGCGGGGAGCAGGAGUCAACACAGCUCGUUACAUUCACAGCGCCAUCAGCCUGUCAAUCAAAUGAGGGAAGCACACCCCGAUUGGUUUCAAACACGUGCUCUCAAAACUACAGUAUGUACUAGUGUAAGACGCCUCAAAUGAGGUGCAGGUACACCUAUUUUAGUCCUGAACUCUGAGCCCUUUCAUUCCUGCCUCAUUAUUUUACAGCAUAAUCCAUCUGCAGAUAAUAACCAUUUAGGCAAUCAGUGACUGAGGAUGCCAAAAGAUACCACACACACACACACACACACACACACACACGCACGCACACACACACACACACACACACACACACACACACACACACACACACACACGCACACACACUCCUUAAACAUAAAUUAUAUUCAUCAUUGUCUUUGUGUAUCUAGUUAAUACAUUUACUGAUGUGCUUAUGAAUUUGUAAUCAGUAAGCAAAUCAAAUAUUCUACAUUCUACUAAUAAUCCAACCAUUCAGUCAAAAAUUUAAGUGAGCACAUUCUGAACUGAAAAGUGUAACCAGUAGAAAUUAUCAACCAAACCAAAAAUGUUACAUACAGU